rnacentral:rRNA from 1 species
AUGGCUGCCAACUCGGGCUCAACGGUGCUGCUCCGCCUCGGUCACCUCGACUCUGACGUCGACAGUCCUGUAUAUGGCAAAAAUACUAAGAGUACAUUCUUUGAGAGACUACGCAGUAGCUCUCCUGUGACAAACAGACCAAUAAAAGCCCAUCGGCUGCAGCGGCACAACCCACUAAGCAGCAGCCCAAGAGCAGCAACCAGUCACAUCUACCGUCACGCACGACCGAACGAGAGACACUUCGCAGCUCAGCUCUGUUCAAAUGCUCCUAAAAAACCUCAGUCCAAAUUCACCAAAUCCACCAGCACGGUAGCACUAGAGCCAGAUGAGCACGGGGGAGCGGCGCUCUGA